UUUCCACAGCUGCCUCAGUGCCCAGCAUGCUAAGGAUGUCGGCUAGGCAGCCUUCCUACUGUUCAGAAAAUUUCACUCCUGCAGCUUCUUGGCUGGUUUUGAGAAAUCGCUCUAUGAGCAGGGCGCAGAUUAGCAUAAGUGUCACAUUCUGUGGGCCUGCCCGCUCAUUUCUCAGGCGUUGCAUAUGCCGGGGAUUUCUCAACUGGAUAAUAAGAGGAAUAUGGUCUACACAUGCGGAGCAGGCACCGUGUUUUCUGUAGGCAGUGUGGAAUAAAUCUCACCUGGAGCCACUUACAAAUAACGACUGUGAAGAAGCAAGCUCCACAGAAGACAGCGUAACUAACUGCAAAAGGAGGCAAAGAAGACUGCUAAAAAAACCCGCUGGAGCUGGGAGGUGAGGCCCCAGGAAGCCCAGUCUAGCAGCAGAGCGUUUUCUUGGCUCCCUUUCCUCCUCCGGCUUGUCUGCACUUCAGUGAGAGUCAAGUAAUUACCUUCCCUCCAUCUCCCCUAGGUGUGCACUCCCUGGAGAGUGUAUCUAAACAGGAAAUGUUCCAGUAUCGAAGACGCUAAGAAAGAUAGGCACCCACAGACAAGACCGGCAAGACGCUGCUCUGCGCAGGCGCUCAGCAAGGCUGAGGGAGGUCAGGGAGAGUAGGGCUGUGGAGAAGGAGCCAAAGCGUGGAGAGGAGCCAAGGAGCCUGGAAUGGCACCCCUGCACUAGAGCCCCAUUCUGCAAGGCCACAUGCAGGGCAGCUAGGGUAGAUGGGUAAUGAAGCAGACUGGGGAGGACCACCACAAGAGGGCUAUCAAGACCGAAUGGGGAUGUAUCUAGGGAGCCCAUUCACCUACUGUAUCCUUGAGCUUCCAAUGGGGUGAAUUGCCUCAUCAAUGUCUUCGUUCCCGUUUGUGAGUAUUAAACCCUUUAAUCAAAAUAACCCUCAUCCUUAAACUCAACAGCAUGUUUUGUAUGGGGCUUCAAAGGAGGGAAACGUGAGCUUACGGAAGGAAGAAAGAAAGAAGAAGAUGCAGGAAAGCUGUCAGUAGAUGGGGGGGGGGGGGACGACAAACUUUAUACCAGCAAAUUCUUACCUGCUGGCACUUCAACAGGGAAAGUGUAAAAAGACUGCCUGAAAAAAAAAAAAAGAAAGGCAUCAACAUUUGCCUGAUGGAAUCAGACCAAAACCAGAAAUCUACUGAAGAGCCAAGGGGUGUUACAUUGAAAUAUGUGGACUGUAAGAUUAAUUCAGGACCAUGUUCAAGCUACUCUUUAGCAUUGUGAAUAUAAAGUAAUAUUCCAUAAAAACUUUACACUUUUUUUAAAUGGAGUUUAACUUCUGAAGGGUAUUAUGUCAUACCUAAUCCCUUUUGGUUUGAGUCUGGA